rnacentral:rRNA from 1 species
AUGAACGCUGGCGGCGUGCCUUAUACAUGCAAGUCGAGUGGGUUUAGACCCACGGCAAACGGGUGAGUAACACGUAGGUACUUUCCUUGUCACAGGAAUAACCCUCCGAAAGGAGGGCUAAUACCUGAUGUGAUCGCAAGAUUAAAGGGUAUCCGCAAGGAUUACCGGACAAGAAGAGGCCUGCGGCCUAUCAGCUAGUUGGCGGGGUAAAUGCCCACCAAGGCUAUGACGGGUAGCUGGUCUUAUGAGGAUGAUCAGUCACAUGGGCACUGAGACACGGGCCCAACUCCUACGGGAGGCAGCAGUAGGGAAUUUUGCGCAAUGGGCGAAAGCCUGACGCAGCGACGCCGCGGGCGGGAUGAAGGCCUUCGGGUCGUAAACCGCUUUUAUAAGGGACGAACUUUGACGGUACCUUAUGAAUAAGAGGUUGCUAACUCUGUG